rnacentral:rRNA from 1 species
AUUGAACGCUGGCGGCAUGCCUUACACAUGCAAGUCGAACGGCAGCACGGGGCAACCUGGUGGCGAGUGGCGAACGGGUGAGUAAUGCAUCGGAACGUACCUUUCAGUGGGGGAUAACGUAGCGAAAGUUACGCUAAUACCGCAUAUUCUGUGAGCAGGAAAGCAGGGGAACGCAAGACCUUGCGCUGAUUGAGCGGCCGAUGUCAGAUUAGCUAGUUGGUGAGGUAAAGGCUCACCAAGGCGACGAUCUGUAGCGGGUCGGAGAGGAUGAUCCGCCACACUGGAACUGAGACACGGUCCAGACUCCUACGGGAGGCAGCAGUGGGGAAUUUUGGACAAUGGGGGCAACCCUGAUCCAGCCAUGCCGCGUGAGUGAAGAAGGCCUUCGGGUUGUAAAGCUCUUUCGGCCGGGAAGAAAUCGCACGGGCUAAUACCCUGUGUGGAUGACGGUACCGGAAUAAGAAGCACCGGCUAACUACGUGCCAGCCGCCGCGGUAACAC